GGGUGAAUGCCUUGGCAUUGGGAGCCGAUGAAGGACGUGGUUAACUGCGAAAAGCUACGGGGAGUUGUAAGCGAGCAUAGAUCCGUAGAUGUCCGAAUGGAGCAAUCCAUAUGAUUGUAGAUCAUAUAUCAUAUACUGAAUACAUAGGUAUAUGAGGGGAACCGCCUGAACUGAAACAUCUAAGUAGGGCGAGGAAGAGAAAUCAAAAGAGAUUUCGUGAGUAGUGGCGAGCGAAAGCGAAAGAGGCCAAACCAGAAGUAGAAAUACUUGUGGGGUUGUGGACUGCAUAAAGUAUCAAUAGAUCUAACUGAAUUGCAUGGGAAGGCAAACCGAAGAACGUGAGAGUCGUGUAAGUGAAAGGUUGAAAGAGCUAGCAGAAUCCAGAGUACGCGGGGCACGUGAAAUCCCGUGGGAAGCAGGGGGGACCGAGUCCUCCAAGCCUAAAUACUACCCAAUGACCGAUAGCGAAUAGUACUGUGAAGGAAAGGUAGG
rnacentral:rRNA from 1 species